UCUCCCAUCUACAUAUACAUACAUGGUCUAUAUUUAUCCAAAAAAUUAGUUGAACAACCAAAAGCUUUGUGGCAGUACUCUCUGGAGAAACAAAUUGAAGAAACGUAAAAAAAUGAAUAAAUCACGUGGUUCAGCGGCUGAUAAAUGGACUGAUGAAGAAACAUCUAUCCUUAUAAGUGUCUUGUAUGAUGACGCGAGGAAGUCCGGAUUUAAAGGUUAUGCCAUCAGUGGUCCACGAUUAAUAGAAGUUAGGAAUGAGUUUUUUGAGAAAAUUGAAAAUCGAGAUAAGUUUGAUGAUGAGAGAAUUAAGUCAAAGAUUCAACGAUUAAGGAAAGACACAAAAACCUUCAAGGAUCUCCUUAGUUCUUGCUCUGGAUAUGGAUGGAACCCUACAACUAACACAAUUACAACCCUACAAAGAUUCCUUUUGUUUUCUUCUCUUUUUUUUUCCCGAAUUUAUAUUAGUUGUAUUUUCAUUAUCAUGAUUAGUAUCAAGACCUUUUCACUAUACGAAUAUUUACCGUAAUGAUUCUUGUUAAUUUGUUGCGGAAGUCAUAAAUAUUGUUACAUGAGAUUUCUAU